rnacentral:rRNA from 1 species
UAGCCGUAAACGAUGGAGACUAAGUGCUGUCAAAAAACAGUGCUGUAGCUAACGCGUUAAGUCUCCCGCCUGGGGAGUAUGCUGGCAACAGUGAAACUCAAAGGAAUUGACGGGGGCCAGCACAAGAGGUGGAUUAUGUGGUUUAAUUUGAUGCUACGCGGAGAACCUUACCAGGGAUUGAACUGCCAAGAAAGAUCCAGAGAUGGGUCUGUGCCCGAAAGGGAACUUGGACAGAGGUGGUGCACGGCUGUCGUCAGCUCGUGAUGCGAAUUGUCAGGUUAAGUCCUUGAACGAGCGUAACCCUUGUUUUCAGUUGCCCGAAAGGGAACUCUGGAAAAACUGCCGAUGUAAAUCGGAGGAAGGAGAGGAUGACGUCAAGUCAGCAUGCCCCUUAUAUCCUGGGCUACACACGUAAUACAAUGGUCGAGACAGCGAGACGCUACCCCGUAAGGGCACGCUAAUCUCUCAAACUCGGCCUCAAUUCGAAUUGUGUUCUGCAACUCGAACACAUGAAGCCGGAAUCUCUAGUAAUCGCCAAUCAGCUAUGUGGCGGUGAAUACGUUCCCUGGCCUUGUACACACCGCCCGUCAAAUGGAGGGAGUGAGCUUCGCUCGAAGCCGUUCAGACUAACCCACAAGGAUGUCAACGUCUACAGCGCGGCUUGUGACUUCUAUUAAGUCGUAACAAGGUAACC